UUGACCUCGGAUCAGGUAGGAAUACCCGCUGAACUUAAGCAUAUCAAUAAGCGGAGGAAUGUG
rnacentral:rRNA from 1 species